CCCUUAGAUGUCCUGGGCCGCACGCGCGCUACACUGAGUGUCUGAGAUACGAGUCUGCCUGGUCCGGCAAGGUCUAGGUAAUCGCUAAAAGACACAUCAUGCUUGGGAUAGAUUAUUGCAAAUAUUAAUCUUGAACGAGGAAUUCCUAGUAAGCGCAAGUCAACAGCUUGCGUUGAUUACGUCCCUGCCCUGUGUACACACCGCCCGUCGCUACUACUGAUUGGAUGUUUAAGCGAGGUUCUCGAACUGCUAGCGACUUAGCUUCGGUGAGGUCGCAGUGUGGGAAGUGAACCUAGCUUUGGUGUCUAGAGGAAGUAAAAGUCGUAACA
rnacentral:rRNA from 1 species